AGUAUAUCCUUGUCCUACAACAAGCCACAGAUAUCGAAAAUCUGUAUUUGGGGAGAUAGGACACACUAUCAUUAACUUGUUAUCAUACCUUAGAAAUUACCAGUAUAUAAUACCACAUGGAGAUGGGAAAAAAGCUACAUAAAGAUACUGUCAAAGCGACAUAAUGAGGAUCAUAAGCCCUAUUGAUGGAAGGAAUUCCAAGUGAAAGGAUUUGUCAGGAAACUGAUUUUGAAUAAACAGUGAAAUGUAC